GUCAGCAGACACAUUCCAGCCAAUCAGACCCUCCCUCCCAGACCCUCCCACCUCCUGGACAGCUCACUAAGAAGCUGCUUCAAAAUGGAUGCUGUCCAGGAGGUGGGAGGGUCUGGGAGGGAGGGUCUGCUGCUGAUUGGCUGGAAUGUGUCUGCUGAC